rnacentral:lncRNA from 12 species
GAACAUUCCACCUCCCUGUUGUAAACGGCAUAUUUACAGCCAUUUCCUCCAUUCAUUGCCAGGCCUGAGACAUUGCUGAGUGCUAUGGAAUAGCUGUUGUGCUUCUCUCCAGAUUUCCACAACCUCGACAGCGCAGACCGAAUUGAUAGUGCAGCAUUAGCCUAAAUAAUGAAGGAAGUGGUGUGCAUCUGUUGAGUUUCUCUGCGCUUGUGUAAAGAAUGGCAGGGCCCGAAGGGGGGCCCUGGCGGAGAGGAAGAGCUUCCAGAACGAGCCUGCAGUCACAUCGCACCCCGGUCCAUCCGAAGAGCACUGCUAAGCCUUUCGGGGAGGGGGGGCCCCCUUCGAUCAGCUCGCCUAAUGUGAUUUCUCAGGCUAACUACAAAGCACCGGUGCCUGCAGAAUUAAAGUCAUCAAUAGCCGAGGCCUCCUGCAUUUACAGGAAGACACAAAUAAAACCCCAACUGAUAGGCCGCUCACGGUAUUUUACAUUUUCCCCACCUGUUUUUCUUGGUGCUGGAGUUUUCCAGGAAUGCCAUGAAACUUUCACUCAAGCUGUUCAAGUGUGUAUUCCUUCAGCCUGCCAAAAGGCCCUCUCUAGGUGGGUUUUCCCCAAGCCCCCAAGUGCUUUUGCUAACGAAACUGCUGAACAGGAGCUAAUUUAUCACUCUGUUAUCACCAUAUUAGGGCAUGAGAGAGCCAUACCUAGGAUGAAUUAUGGAUCCUUCCAGUGUCCCAGGCAUCCUGUACGUCAAGGUAAGCAAAUGCUGCGUCGUGUUAACUGUCAGCCUCCAAAACAGCUGACAUUUGUUAUUUUAAUUAAUAGUUUACUUUGCUGAAAUAAGCUUCUGUGAGAAGCUAUGACUUUUUAUGAAAUCUUCACUGCAGCAUUGUUUUCCCCAGAUUGGGAGACAAAAGCUAAUUUUCAAAA